rnacentral:rRNA from 1 species
GCCAGACUCCUACGGGAGGCAGCAGUGGGGAAUAUUGGGCAAUGGGCGCAAGCCUGACCCAGCAACGCCGCGUGAAGGAAGAAGGCUUUCGGGUUGUAAACUUCUUUUGACAGGGAAGAGCAGAAGACGGUACCUGUCGAAUAAGCCACGGCUAACUACGUGCCAGCAGCCGCGGUAAUACGUAUGGUGCAAGCGUUAUCCGGAUUUACUGGGUGUAAAGGGAGCGCAGGCGGCACGGCAAGCCUGAUGUGAAAGCCCGCGGCCCAACCGCGGGACUGCAUUGGGAGCUACCGGGCUGGAGUGCCGGAGAGGUAGGCGGAAUUCCUAGUGUAGCGGUGAAAUGCGUAGAUAUUAGGAGGAACACCAGUGGCGAAGGCGGUCUGCUGGACAGCAACUGACGGUGAGGCGCGAAAGCGUGGGGAGCAAACAGGAUUAGAUACCCGCGUAAA